ACCGGAUUAGUCUAAUGGCAAAACACUCGGCUCUGACCCGAGAUUUGUUGGUUCGAGUCCAGCAUCCGGUG
rnacentral:tRNA from 1 species